UGGGGAAUAUUGGACAAUGGGCGAAAGCCUGAUCCAGCAAUGCCGCGUGAGUGAUGAAGGCCUUAGGGUUGUAAAGCUCUUUUACCAGGGAUGAUAAUGACAGUACCUGGAGAAUAAGCUCCGGCUAACUCCGUGCCAGCAGCCGCGGUAAUACGGAGGGAGCUAGCGUUGUUCGGAAUUACUGGGCGUAAAGCGCGCGUAGGCGGCUAUUCAAGUCAGGGGUGAAAUCCCGGGGCUCAACCCCGGAACUGCCUUUGAAACUGGGUAGCUAGAAUCCUGGAGAGGCGAGUGGAAUUCCGAGUGUAGAGGUGAAAUUCGUAGAUAUUCGGAAGAACACCAGUGGCGAAGGCGACUCGCUGGACAGGUAUUGACGCUGAGGUGCGAAAGCGUGGGGAGCAAACA
rnacentral:rRNA from 1 species